rnacentral:tRNA from 3 species
UAUGCAAUGAACUUAAAAUUCAUUUAUAAAGAUUAAUCUUUUUUUAGAAA